rnacentral:rRNA from 1 species
ACACGCAUGACACACUGCAUAUCAAUAAGCGGAGGAAAAGAAACUAACAAGGAUUCCCCUUAGUAACGGCGAGUGAAGCGGGAAGAGCUCAAAUUUGAAAUCUUCAAGGUUCUACCUUGACGAAUUGUAGUUUAUAGAAGUGUUUUCUGUUAGUAGAGUGGCAAAAGUUCUUUGGAAUAGGACAUCAUAGAGGGUGAGAAUCCCGUAUUUGGUCAUUCUUUCUAGCGUUGUGAUACACUUUCAACGAGUCGGAUUGUUUGGGAAUGCAGUCCAAAAUGGGUGGUAAAUUUCAUCUAAAGCUAAAUAUUGGCGAGAGACCGAUAGCGAACAAGUACCGUGAGGGAAAGAUGAAAAGAACUUUGAAAAGAGAGUUAAACAGUACGUGAAAUUGUCAAAAGGGAAGCGUUUGACACCAGUGUUGUUUUUCCGAAAAUCAAUUACGAAUGUUUUAUUUUUGAGGAGUUAUGACUUCAUCGGCUUGCUCCUUUCUUUAUGAAACUUUCUUAAUGCACUUUUCGGUUAACAAGUCAACAUCAAUUUCUUUUGUUGUAAAAGGGUAUGAGGAAGGUGACUUUCUUUUCGGAGAAAGUGUUUAUAGCCUUGUGCCUCUGCAAUCGGAGAGAUUGAGGUCUGCAGCGUAGAUCCUUCGGGGUUAGAUACGUUUGUGCUAAGUUAUAGCUUUUCAUAGACAACUUGUUGACUAUGUUUAGUCUUGUAGCUUACUCGCUUACGCUAUUUUACCUACGCUUAGGAUGUUGAGCGCAUGUCUCUCUCU